CCCCAAUGUCUAAAUUUAGCAUGGGACAUACUGUUAGAAACUAAGACAUGCAUAAGAAAGAUAAGUCAAACACCAGUCCGGAACAUGUUGAAUACUCCAAGCACUAGUAGUAUUAAUACACCAAGCACAAGUAGUAUUAAUACACCAAGGACAAGUGGUGUUGGCAGCAGUGGUCCUUGUAGAGAGUCCAGUACACCAAAUGCAAGGUCCAUGAAUACCAUGAAUACCAGUUCCAAUGAUAUCCACAGUCUUGGUCAAAGAGAUUUAUUAAUAAGAAUAUAUGAGAGGCAGGAGGAAAUCUUGCACUGAAAGCACAGACAGCACAUGACAACAGCUCUGCAAAAUCCAAAGAAAAUCUGGUAGUUCCAAUAGGAGUUAAGAAUGCUGUGAAACAAGGGCACAAGGAUGGAGAAGAAAAAGGUCUCUGUUGGAGCUUUGAAGGAAAAAG